GAAGGAUUCUACUUCAAAGGCAGUGCGUCUAAUGGGAACAUAUUCACCACUGUGAAGGAGUGUGAAAGCCUCUGUGGAGAUGUUAAAGAAACCGUUCGUGGCCCGAGCACAGCUACUACAACCACUCAACCUGCUGUGGAUUCAGGUGAUGCUACAUCUGUGUUUCCUUCAUUAUAUAUUUGUAU